rnacentral:rRNA from 1 species
CCUACGGGAGGCAGCAGUGAGGAAUAUUGGUCAAUGGGCGCGAGCCUGAACCAGCCAAGUAGCGUGAAGGAUGACUGCCCUACGGGUUGUAAACUUCUUUUAUCAAGGAAUAAAGUGCGGCACGUGUGCCUUUUCGUAUGUACUUUAUGAAUAAGGAUCGGCUAACUCCGUGCCAGCAGCCGCGGUAAUACGGAGGAUGCGAGCGUUAUCCGGAUUUAUUGGGUUUAAAGGGUGCGUAGGCGGACUGUUAAGUCAGCGGUAAAAUGCCGGGGCUCAACCCCUGCGAGCCGUUGAAACUGGUUGUCUUGAGAUGUCGAGAGGUAUGCGGAAUGCGUAGUGUAGCGGUGAAAUGCUUAGAUAUUGCGCAGAACUCCGAUUGCGAAGGCAGCAUACCGGCGGCGAUCUGACGCUGAGGCACGAAAGCGUGGGUAUCGAACAGGAUUAGAUACCCCUGUAGUC